UUGGCUAUAGUCAGUGUUAGAGCGACGCUGAUAAGCGUGAGUCGAUGGUUCGAGUCCAUUUAGAUUGU
rnacentral:tRNA from 1 species